CGAGGCUUGGAAUCAUGAUGCUGUGGGCCUCGCCAGCGUCAAGCGGGUGAUCACGGGGAUCUCCACACACCCGCCGGUACAGCCGUUAUCUGCUUAAAGUAGGCCGCCAGAGGAAGCUCGCAUCGCUUCUGGUGCUCCGAAUUUCAUGUAGCAGUCGCGCCGCAUGCCGUGGAGGGGUGAGCUGUGUUGGCAGCUCAGAAGAUGCGGGACGCCG
rnacentral:sRNA from 12 species